GCAUCGUGCACCAUUUCGGUCAUCCUAGUAUCUUAAUAUUCAUUAUGCCCUGCAGACCUACUACUUUCUCCAACAACAAAGUUAUUUUGUGCAACAUCCCCAUGAAUGCCACGCAAUCUUAAAAAGUCCUCGUGAAAACCCUUUCUAUAAAGAUGUUCCUUUACAUCUUCUUCACUUAUAAGAUUUAUCCCAUCACAUCUAACACAAGGACAACGAAUAACUCGAUAACCUAUCCACAUAUCAAGUGUCUUAGCAUGUUCAACAAAUCAUUUGACACCUUCAACAAAUUUCUCCCUAACACCCAUUCUAUUAUAAUUGUUCCGUUGAUAUAUCCAGCUAUAAUCAGGUUCCAUCUACGCAAUCAAUCAGAUUCAAUAAAUUAGAUUAAGUCACAAAAAUUUGACCAUUUUCAAGCAACUAAGUCACCAACUGAACCACAUUCAAAACAAAAAAAAGUCACUUUGAAGUUCCUACACUUAACGAUUUUCAAGCAACUAAGUCACCAACCAAACCACAUUCAAAACAAAAAAUUCCCUUUAAAGUUCCUACAAUUAACCAUUUUCAAGAAACUAAGUCACCUACCAAACCAUAGUCAAAACAAAAAAUUCCCUUUAAAGUUCCUACACUUAACCAUUUUCAAGCAACUAAGUCACCUACCAAACCACAUUCAAAACAAAAAAAUCCCCUUUAAAGUUCCUACGCUUAACCUUUUUCAUGCAACUAAGUCACCUACGAAAUCACAUUCAAAAAUAAAAAAAUUCCCUUUAAAGUUCCUACACUUAACCAUUUUCAAGCAACUAAGUAUCAAAACAAAACCACAUUCAAAACACAAAAUCCCCUUCAAAGUCCC
rnacentral:lncRNA from 1 species